GAUGAACGCUGACAGAAUGCUUAACACAUGCAAGUCGAUGGGGAAGUGGUGCUUGCACCAUGGUAACCAUGGCGGACGGGUGAGUGACGCGUAAGGAACUUACCUGCGGGACCGGGAUAACAGCAGGAAACUGCUGACAAGACCGGAUAAGGUCAUUAAGCUGCAUAGCUUAGUGAUGAAAGGAGACGCCUGCGGAGAGCCUUGCGUCCUAUUAGCUAGUUGGAGGGGUAACGGCCCACCAAGGCGAAGAUAGGUAGCCGGCCUGAGAGGGUGGACGGCCACAAGGGGACUGAGAUACGGCCCUUACUCCUACGGGAGGCGGCAGUGGGGAAUAUUGGACAAUGGGGGCAACCCUGAUCCAGCAAUUCUGUGUGCACGAAGACGGUUUUCGGAUUGUAAAGUGCUUUCAGCAGGGAAGAAGGAAGUGACGGUACCUGCAGAAGAAGCGACGGCUAAAUACGUG
rnacentral:rRNA from 1 species